rnacentral:rRNA from 1 species
CAGCAGCCGCGGUAACACGUAGGGUGCGAGCGUUGUCCGGAAUUAUUGGGCGUAAAGAGCUUGUAGGUGGUUUGUCGCGUCUGCUGUGAAAAUCCGAGGCUCAACCUCGGACUUGCAGUGGGUACGGGCAGACUAGAGUGUGGUAGGGGAGACUGGAAUUCCUGGUGUAGCGGUGGAAUGCGCAGAUAUCAGGAGGAACACCGAUGGCGAAGGCAGGUCUCUGGGCCAUUACUGACACUGAGAAGCGAAAGCAUGGGGAGCGAACAGGAUUAGAUACCCCCGUAGUCCCUGUCUCUUAUAC